rnacentral:lncRNA from 1 species
AGAACGCAGACUUCUCCCUGUGCCAGUUCAGGUUCCUGCAGAGGCUUCUCUUGGUCCACGGACACUGGUCUUACAUUCGCAUCUCUCUCUUCCUGAGAUAUUUCCUGUAUAAGACCUGCAGCUUUGCCCUGGUGCACAUUUGGUUUGGCCUCUUUAACGGCUUCAGUGCUCAGUCUCUGUAUGAGACUUGGUUCAUCGCCUUUUACACAGUUUUCUACACAUCGAAUCCUAUUUUGUGCGUGGCCUUCUUUGAAAAGGACGCGAGUGCGGAGGGCAUUUUGAAUUUCCCAGAGCUGUACAUGUCGGGACAGAGGAAUGAACAGUCCAGCCCCUUGAUGCUGCUGCUGAGCCUACUGUACGCCGUCUACUCGUCGCUCAUGCUGUUCUUCAUCCCGUGUGGCGUCUUCUUCGACACGCCGUACGACUUCCAAACUAUGUCCGUCACCGUUGCCAUGGCAGUGACAUUUGCAGCCACCAUAGAGAUCGUGCUUCAGACCAAGCAAUGGACCAAGUUUAACGUCGCGUGUGUGUGCGUGUCCGUGGCGCUGUACUUUCUCGUCACCAAAAUCACUCAGAGUCAAAUGCUGUUUGAGAGAUCACCGUUCGACUAUUACUUUAUUGGUACGAGCCGUUUAUCCAAGUCAACACGUGUUUGGCAUGAAGAUCUUAUUCGCACAGUUUUCAGCGUAUAUGUAGAUGCAGUUCCUCGGUCAGUCUGUCAUCAUUGUGCGCGUGUGCAAAUGUGCCUCUACAGGAGCAGCUGA